rnacentral:rRNA from 1 species
GGCUCAGAUUGAACGCUGGCGGGCAGGCCCUAAACACAUGCAAGUCGAACGGUAACAGGAAGCAGCUUUGCUUCUUCGCUGACGAGUGGCGGGACGGGUGAGUAAUGUCUGGGAAACUGCCUGAUGGAGGGGGAUAACUACUGGAAACGGUAGCUAAUACCGCAUAACGUCGCAAGACCAAAGAGGGGGACCUUCGGGGCCUCUUGCCAUCGGAUGUGCCCAGAUGGGAUUAGCUAGUAGGUGGGGUAACGGCUCACCUAGGCGACGAUCCCUAGCUGGUCUGAGAGGAUGACCAGCCACACUGGAACUGAGACACGGUCCAGACUCCUACGGGAGGCAGCAGUGGGGAAUAUUGCACAAUGGGCGCAAGCCUGAUGCAGCCAUGCCGCGUGUAUGAAGAAGGCCUUCGGGUUGUAAAGUACUUUCAGCGGGGAGGAAGGGAGUAAAGUUAAUACCUUUGCUCAUUGACGUUACCCGCAGAAGAAGCACCGGCUAACUCCGUGCCAGCAGCCGCGGUAAUACGGAGGGUGCAAGCGUUAAUCGGAAUUACUGGGCGUAAAGCGCACGCAGGCGGUUUGUUAAGUCAGAUGUGAAAUCCCCGGGCUCAACCUGGGAACUGCAUCUGAUACUGGCAAGCUUGAGUCUCGUAGAGGGGGGUAGAAUUCCAGGUGUAGCGGUGAAAUGCGUAGAGAUCUGGAGGAAUACCGGUGGCGAAGGCGGCCCCCUGGACGAAGACUGACGCUCAGGUGCGAAAGUUUUGGGGAGCAAACAGGAUUAGAUACCCUGGUAGUCCACGC